CUGGUCGGUAGUGCACGCUGCUUCGAUGUGUUUGUUUGAUCGUGUGUUUUUAGGUUUGCCGUAAUGAAAUGUGGCGUAGUUCGCGUGCACGAAAGUGCCGGAAGAUAGUCUGCGUCUCGCUGCAAACUCGCCGUAUACGUGGCACGCCAGGCAAAUGCGGACCAACGAUUUUCAUACCGUGGAGUGUGUUCCCUUUGUCUUGGGUGGUCGUGGAAAGUUUUAUGGACGUCGCAAUGAAAUGUGUUUUCUUAGCGUGCCUCAGCUCGUCCAUUACGCAACGGCAUGUAUGCUGGGAUCAACAUCGUCGACGCAGCAAUGGCAACUCGGAGAGCUCUUUUCGAUUUCAUCGUACUGUUCAAAAGUGGUGAGGCCUUGGCCCGCAACAGUGUCCACUAAAAGGAGGAGCCCCCAGAAAUGCAGACCCCAUAUGAGUGCCUGCAGCAGCACGGCUGGAUGCUCAUGUCAGGCUUCACCAUGGCGGAGUACCAGGCGGAACCAACGAGGUUAAAAGCUAGCCUUUCCUUGCUGCUUUACGGGGAAGUGAAAAUAGUGGGCGAUCAUGUAAGAAUGAACUUGCAACAUGUGAGCAGUAGCCAAAGCUCCAUACAGGUCAUGCUGGUGGUAGAAACUGGAAUGCUGAGGCAAACCACAUUAUUUAUUUACAUAUUAAGUUAUUUACAUGUAUUUGUUUAUAGCUCACUAAAGCCUUAUAUGCCUCCAGGAAGGAAUUAGGUCAAAUGGGAAAGCAUUAUUACAUCAACGUAAACACAUUAUUCAAAAAAGCAUCAUUCGCGUAGCACAAGCAUGCUGUAACAUUUUUUAUUCAGGUGACGUUUUAUACAAAUCCACGAAAAUUUCUAGAAACGAAGCUAUUAAGUUAACAACUCUUACUAAAAAAAAUAACGAUAUCACAGUUCUGUUAGUUGCACCUAAUCCAUAACUAAAGUUGGCGAAAUUGACUUAUCAUACACUGCUCUAAAAUACAAUCAUUAAUUUGUGAGU